AGUGAACGCUGGCGGCGUGCUUAACACAUGCAAGUCGAACGAGAACGGAUUAUAGCUUGCUAUAAUUGUCAGCUAAGUGGCGCACGGGUGAGUAAUGUAUAGGUAAUAUGCCUCUUACUAAGGGAUAACAAAUGGAAACGUUUGCUAAUACCUUAUACUCCUUAUUAACAUAAGUUAAUAAGGGAAAGAUUUAUUGGUAAGAGAUUAGCCUGUAUUGUAUCAGUUAGUUGGUGGGGUAAUGGCUUACCAAGACUAUGACACAUAACUGGUUUGAGAGGAGGAUCAGUCACACUGGAACUGAGACACGGUCCGGACUCCUACGGGAGGCAGCAGUGGGGAAUAUUGCACAAUGGACGGAAGUCUGAUGCAGCAACGCCGCGUGGAGGAUGACACAUUUCGGUGCGUAAACUCCUUUUAUAUGAGAAGAUAAUGACGGUAUUAUAUGAAUAAGCACCGGCUAACUCCGUGCCAGCCGCCGCAGUAA
rnacentral:rRNA from 1 species